rnacentral:rRNA from 1 species
GAUGAACGCUAGCGGCAGGCCUAACACAUGCAAGUCGAGGGGCAGCACGUCUUCGGAUGGUGGCGACCGGCGCACGGGUGCGUAACGCGUAUGCAACCUACCUCUUACAGUGGGAUAGCCCAGAGAAAUUUGGAUUAAUACCGCAUAGUAUGCGACAUCAGCAUUGAUGACGUAUUAAACAUUCAUGGGUAAGAGAUGGGCAUGCGUUCUAUUAGUUAGUUGGAGUGGUAACGGCGCCCCAAGACAGCGAUAGAUAGGGGCCCUGAGAGGGGGAUCCCCCGANACUGGUACCUGAGGCACGGACCA